UUUACUAACACAUCUUUCACCCUUUGGUUAUUCCUUCAUCCUUCUCACUACACUAGUGGGUGAGGAUCUUUAGAGGUUUCCUACUUUGGAAACUUGAAGAGAACCUAGGAGCACUCAUACUAUCAAAGUGGAGGAGGCAAGGAGGGAAGCUAGGCUCAAGGAGUUCAAGGAACAAAGGGCUUGGAGGUGGUCCAUCCUUGGUCUCAAGUCUAGAUCAAGAGGUAUAAGACUAAACCUUCACUUUGUUCUUCUCUAUAAAUUGUUUUGAUGCAUUAUAUAUAAACCUAUGAACCUUGAAGGGGAUUUGCAUGACUAUAGCUUUGAUAAUUUGUUAUAAAUGCUUCCGCUGCUUUCGUAUAUUAAAUUUGAUUUGUAUAUGCAUGAUAGUCAUUUUGAUAUCCCUAUAUGUGAAAACUCAUAAUUUUCCCUUCAAGUGGUAUCAGAGCCAAAGGUUUAUGUAUAAUGUGUCCUUUUGGAUUUUAUGCAUAUGGGUAUUAAUGUUAUGUAUAACAUAUUAUUGUUUCAUUCAAAGUAUGUUUAUCUUUUGUUUUUCAAUAGUUGAAAAAUGUUAGUCAAAAGUUGAGAAAGAUAUGUAUGCAAAAGAUGUUUUGUAUGCAUGAAUGAAAAAUGAGUUUAGAACUAGUUUGACAUAUUAUUUCUUCAUUUAAAAGUAUGUUUAUCUUUUGUUUUUCAAUGGUUGAAAAAUAUAAAUCAAGAGUUGAAAAAGAUAUGCAUGUAAAAAGAUGUUUUGUAUGCAUUAAUGAAGAAUAAGUCAUGAACAAAAUUUGGGGUUUUGUUCUUUGUGGUUGGCACGGUUUUGGGGGUUUUUUGAGCAUGUGUUUGUGUUUUAUUGUAAGACACUCACACAUCAUUUUAAAGCUAGAAAGUAGAAACCUUGUCACUUUUGUUUUUUGGGUUUGAAAAUCACCAAGAAUACACAAAUCUUGAAAAAGUGUUCAUGGUUUUGUUCUUGGUGUUCAUAGUUUGGUUUUGGGUGAAAAUGGUUUUAUUUGGUUUUCAUGCAUGGUUUUAUGGUUUUGGAUGAUGUUCUUACCAUCCAUAACUAUAUUAAAACUUAUAAAACCCUAGACUUGUCUAGGAGAUUUCCAUCACCUUUCUCAUUAAAGCCUUUUAAUGCCAAAACCAAGUGACAUGCAAAAUUUGGAUUUUUUCUACUUUGCAUUGAAUUAAAGCAUGUGGGUGAGACUUCCCACCCCCCCCCCCAUUAAUUGGCCGGCCACCCUAGUGGAUUUAUCCACUUGGGGGGGGGGGCUUUUUGUAAUUUGAAAAAGAUAUUUUAUACUUUUGAGUAUUUACGGUUUGACCCCUAACUUUUUCAUAUUUGCAUUUAAGCCCCUACUAACUAGAAAGUUAAAAUAUUUGAUUUUAAUUUUGUUAGUUGUUUAAACUCAUAAUACUAUUAUGCCCAUAUGCACUAAAUCUAAAUGUUUAUGUUGCAUUCCAUUUAAUUAUUUAAAUGUGUUUAAAUAGUUAUAAAAUGGGUGACUAUGGACUUAUGCCUUAAACGAUAAUUGAGCUAUGAGAUAAGGCGCUAAAAUCAAA
rnacentral:lncRNA from 1 species